GGGGGAUAGGCAGGGGCAGGGCCAAGCCGCAGAGGGGGCCGCCACCGCCUCCUGCCUCCUCUUCGUCUCCUCCCCCUCCCCCGUCUGACGGUGCCUCCUCGGGAAGGGUGUUUGGAGGGCAGCGGCCGCCCCAAGCCGGAGCCCCGCAGCGCUUCUUAUGAUCAGCUCGGUGUGUGUCUCCUCCUACCGCGGGCGCAAGUCGGGGAACAAGCCUCCGUCCAAAACAUGUCUGAAGGAGGAGAUGGCCAAGGGCGAGGCGUCGGAGAAGAUCAUCAUCAACGUGGGCGGCACGCGACAUGAGACCUACCGCAGCACCCUGCGCACCCUACCGGGAACCCGCCUCGCCUGGCUGGCCGACCCCGACGGCGGGGGCCGGCCCGAGACCGAUGGCGGCGGUGUGGGCAGCAGCGGCAGCAGCGGCGGCGGGGGCUGCGAGUUCUUCUUCGACAGGCACCCGGGCGUCUUCGCCUACGUGCUCAACUACUACCGCACCGGCAAGCUGCACUGCCCCGCCGACGUGUGCGGGCCGCUCUUCGAAGAGGAGCUCACCUUCUGGGGCAUCGACGAGACCGACGUGGAACCCUGCUGCUGGAUGACCUACCGGCAGCACCGCGACGCCGAGGAGGCGCUCGACAUCUUCGAGAGCCCGGACGGAGGUGGCAGCGGCGCGGGGCCCAGCGACGAGGCCGGCGACGAUGAGCGGGAGCUGGCCCUGCAGCGACUGGGCCCCCACGAGGGAGGCGCGGGCCAUGGCGCCGGGUCUGGGGGCUGCCGCGGCUGGCAGCCCCGCAUGUGGGCGCUCUUCGAGGAUCCCUACUCCUCCCGGGCCGCUAGGGUAGUGGCCUUUGCCUCUCUCUUCUUCAUCCUGGUCUCCAUCACCACUUUCUGCCUGGAGACCCAUGAGGCCUUUAAUAUCGACCGCAACGUGACAGAGAUCCUCCGCGUAGGGAACAUCACCAGCGUGCACUUCCGGCGGGAGGUAGAGACAGAGCCCAUCCUGACCUACAUCGAGGGCGUAUGUGUGCUGUGGUUCACACUGGAGUUCCUGGUGCGCAUCGUGUGCUGCCCCGACACGCUGGACUUCGUCAAGAACCUGCUCAACAUCAUCGACUUUGUGGCCAUCCUGCCCUUCUACCUGGAGGUGGGGCUGAGCGGCCUGUCAUCCAAGGCGGCCCGUGACGUGCUGGGCUUCCUGCGCGUGGUGCGCUUCGUGCGCAUCCUGCGUAUCUUCAAGCUCACACGCCACUUCGUGGGGCUACGCGUGCUGGGCCACACCCUGAGGGCCAGCACCAAUGAGUUCCUGCUGCUUAUCAUCUUCCUGGCCCUGGGUGUGCUCAUCUUUGCCACCAUGAUCUACUACGCUGAGCGCAUUGGGGCCAGGCCCUCCGACCCUCGGGGUAAUGACCACACCGACUUCAAGAACAUCCCAAUUGGCUUCUGGUGGGCUGUGGUCACCAUGACGACACUGGGCUACGGAGACAUGUACCCCAAGACGUGGUCAGGCAUGCUGGUAGGGGCACUGUGUGCGCUGGCUGGCGUGCUCACCAUCGCCAUGCCGGUGCCUGUCAUCGUCAACAACUUCGGCAUGUACUACUCCCUGGCCAUGGCCAAGCAGAAGCUGCCCAAGAAACGGAAGAAGCACGUGCCACGGCCGGCCCAGCUGGAGUCACCCAUGUACUGCAAGUCUGAGGAGACUUCCCCCGGGGACAGCACCUACAGUGAUACCAGCCCCCCUGCCCGGGAAGAGGGUAUGAUCGAGAGGAAACGGGCAGGUGAGAUUAGGGGUUGGGAAGGAAAAUCCCUUUUCCCCCAGUGGCCUAGGGAGUUUCCAAAUGGACCUCAGCCCUUGGGAUUUGGCAUGUGUUUUGUGUGGGGCUUCCCUAAGCAUAAGAUGUGCCUUUAUGAGGGCAAAGUGUUGAGGCCGAAUUUCUCUAUCCUCUGGCUGGGUCUUCGA
rnacentral:sRNA from 1 species